AAGAUAUUCACGGACCAGCCACCCCCCUUUGACCCUGCUGCAAUGCUCCUCCAUCACACUACCACACCAAGUAAUAGAUACAAAAGAUCAAUUACUAUUAGGAUACUUAAUGUAGCAAAGCAGCUCAUUACACAACACUGGAAGAGCAAGGACACACCUACACCAGACAAGUGGUUCACACAAAUGGAGGCCCUAAGGGGGACAGAAGACAUACACAUGAAAUCUACGGACAGAACACAACAGUAUCUUG